UACAGAGGUCCCAAGCGUUGUUCGGAAUUAUUGGGCGUAAAGCGUGCGUAGGCGGCGGGGUAAGUCGGGUGUGAAAUCUCAGGGCUCAACCCUGAAAUUGCAUUCGAUACUGCUUCGCUUGAGCACUGAAGAGGAGGUUGGAAUUUACGGUGUAGCAGUGAAAUGCGUAGAUAUCGUAAGGAAGGCCGGUGGCGAAAGCGAACCUCUGGGCAGCAGCUGACGCUGUGGCACGAAGGCUAGGGGAGCAAACGGG
rnacentral:rRNA from 1 species